rnacentral:rRNA from 1 species
UCGGGAAUUUUGGGCAAUGGGGGAAACCCUGACCCAGCAACGCCGCGUGAAGGAUGAAGUAUUUCGGUAUGUAAACUUCGAAAGAAUAGGAAGAAUAAAUGACGGUACUAUUUAUAAGGUCCGGCUAACUACGUGCCAGCAGCCGCGGUAAUACGUAGGGACCAAGCGUUGUUCGGAUUUACUGGGCGUAAAGGGCGCGUAGGCGGCAUGACAAGUCACUUGUGAAAUCUCUGGGCUUAACCCAGAACGGCCAAGUGAUACUGUCGCGCUAGAGUGCAGAAGGGGCAAUCGGAAUUCUUGGUGUAGCGGUGAAAUGCGUAGAUAUCAAGAGGAACACCUGAGGCGAAGGCGGGUUGCUAGGCUGAUACUGACGCUGAGGCGCGAAAGCUAGGGUAGCAAACGGGAUUAGAUACCCAAGUAGUCCCUGAGCGGGC